rnacentral:rRNA from 1 species
GAUGAACGCUGGCGGCGUGCCUAAUACAUGCAAGUCGAGCGAACAGACGAGGAGCUUGCUCCUCUGACGUUAGCGGCGGACGGGUGAGUAACACGUGGAUAACCUACCUAUAAGACUUGGAUAACUUCGGGAAACCGGAGCUAAUACCGGAUAAUAUAUUGAACCGCAUGGUUCAAUAGUGAAAGACGGUUUUGCUGUCACUUAUAGAUGGAUCCGCGCCGCAUUAGCUAGUUGGUAAGGUAACGGCUUACCAAGGCAACGAUGCGUAGCCGACCUGAGAGGGUGAUCGGCCACACUGGAACUGAGACACGGUCCAGACUCCUACGGGAGGCAGCAGUAGGGAAUCUUGCGCAAUGGGCGAAAGCCUGACGGAGCAACGCCGCGUGAGUGAUGAAGGUCUUCGGAUCGUAAAACUCUGUUAUUAGGGAAGAAAAAAUGUGUAAGUAACUAUGCACGUCUUGACGGUACCUAAUCAGAAAGCCACGGCUAACUACGUG